UACGGAGGAUGCGAGCGUUAUCCGGAUUUAUUGGGUUUAAAGGGUGCGUAGGCGGGAUGCCAAGUCAGCGGUAAAAAUUCGGGGCUCAACCCCGUCCGGCCGCUGAAACUGGGGGUCUUGAGUGGGCGAGAAGAAGGCGGAAUGCGUGGUGUAGCGGUGAAAUGCAUAGAUAUCACGCAGAACCCCGAUUGCGAAGGCAGCCCUCCGGCGCCCUACUGACGCUGAGACACGAAAGUGCGGGGAUCGAACAGG
rnacentral:rRNA from 1 species